rnacentral:rRNA from 1 species
GAUGAACGCUGGCGGCGUGCCUAAUACAUGCAAGUCGAGCGAAUGGAUUAAGAGCUUGCUCUUAUGAAGUUAGCGGCGGACGGGUGAGUAACACGUGGGUAACCUGCCCAUAGACUGGGAUAACUCCGGGAAACCGGGGCUAAUACCGGAUAACAUUUUGAACCGCAUGGUUCGAAAUUGACAGGCGGCUUCGGCUGUAACUUAUGGAUGGACCCGCGUCGCAUUAGCUUGUUGGUGAGGUAACGGCUCACCAAGGCAACGAUGCGUAGCCGACCUGAGAGGGUGAUCGGCCACACUGGGACUGAGACACGGCCCAGACUCCUACGGGAGGCAGCAGUAGGGAAUCUUCCGCAAUGGACGAAAGUCUGACGGAGCAACGCCGCGUGAGUGAUGAAGGCUUUCGGGUCGUAAAACUCUGUUGUUAGGGAAGAACAAGUGCUAGUUGAAUAAGCUGGCACCUUGACGGUACCUAACCAGAAAGCCACGGCUAACUACGUGCCAGCCGCCGCCGUAA